CAAGAAUUUCAGUGUCUAAGCAGCAUUUUAUUACAUAAACAGAGGAAAUACUAAUAUCAAAUUAAGGAGGGAGAGUGUAUAGGUCACAGACACCAUUUAUGGAACUUCAUUUGUUCUUGGCUUCAGACUGGAGCUUUCAGCUGCCUGAUUCUUCAUUACAUUACACCACAUGAAAACUGAGAAUUAGGUUGAGAAUUUGGAAGAGGAAGGAAGCUUGGAUGAAAGUGAUCAUGAAAUGACAGAGUUCAUGAUUCUAAGUACUAGUAGGAGGGGAAACAGCAGAAUAAAGACAAAGGACUUCAAGAAGGCUGACUUCAGCAACCUCAGAGAAUUGGUCACAUGCAGCGAGUACAAUGGAGGAGAUGUUACAGAUUGGAGUCUGCUGUCCAAACGCAUGGGAAGAACGUUUUACCAUGUUCAUUUCCUGCCUCAGCUUUUGACAUUUAGAUUAUUCCAGAGGUAGAAUUAAUCUGUACAGGGAAGGAGCAGAAUCUUCCUGAGCAGCUGGAUUAUGGGUUCAGAACAACACUCCAUUUGCAGUGCUCACUGUGUGGUUUUUUUUAAUAGAAAAACCAGCGUCAGGCCUGAAUUGGGGAGUCAGGCAACAAAAACCCAUUGCAACUGAAUGGGGAUUGAUAUUAGUUUUUUAAAAAAUGCAUUAAAAACAGACAGACACUUUGCAGAUAUAUUUUGGUUUCCUUCCACUCAAUGCAGUUUGGAGAGUGUGGCAUAUUA